UCUGUUUGUUUUUCCAUGGUACAUGGUUUGGUGAAUGGACCAACCAGACCCUCAAGACUGCUAUGGAUAAGUGCCUUGAUUGGUACCAGGAAGAGUGGGAGAACAACCUGAAGAUCACCACACCUGAUGUGGUGGAAGUUGUCGAACCAGAUCAGAACGCCUUUGAGGACCACAUUCAGGCACGGACUGAGAAGGAUGUGGAGUUUUUUUGACGAGGUGAGACUGAACAUGGACAAGGCGCAGGAGAAACAGGAGGGCUACCGGAGCAGAAUCAAGAAGGGCACCAAGCGCUACGACAUGUGAGCGAAUGACUCGGUUUGGAAGAAGGACCAAAGGAAGGCGAGACCUGGGAAACCUCACUGAUCUUUCACCUCCUAGCUGGGGUCACCAUCU